CGAGAGCACGACAUCUUCUCUGGCGAUUUUGAUCUCCAUCUUCAUCAUCCAAUCUCGAUCACUCCGCUUCUCUGGCGAUUUCGAUCUUCAUCUUCCUCAUCCAAUCUCGAUCACUCCAUCUUCUCUGUCCGGAUUGAAAGACGAAUCUGUUUUGUCUGGAGGAGAUCAAUGACUCAAGACCAAUCGUUUUGGUCAGGAACGGAGAUGGGAUUGAUUCGACUGUGCUCCUCAAACGGAUAAAUCGGUUUUUUCUCAUUCUAUGACUCCUGGAGAAAUCAUUGCUGUGAGUUCCGCCAGUAUCAAAGGUGCCACAGCCUUUGAAGUUUCAGAACUAGAGGCGAUGGAAAUUGCUUCUUCCGAAGCUUCAUGUUCUCUUACCUUAAGCAUAUUUUGGAAUCACAAGAUCGUGGUGAAGUUGAUCGUGAGAUGUCUCUUCUCAUAUUAUAUCAUUUUUUUUCUUGCAGCUACGAAGAGCUGGUUAACAGAAAUAGAGAUCAGUCUGUCUCUGACUACAUUGUAAUGUUCUUCUGGUUUGUUACUGCUGGUGAAGUACGAACUCGUGCAGAGUUCUUCAAACCUUUUAUAACAGGAUUAUCAAACUCAACGGUUGAUCAGUGAACCGCUAUUAAGGGUGGUAGCGGGAAACAAGUUAGCACCUGAGUUUGGUAGAAAUCAGUUUUCGAUGAUCAAAGGAAACGGAACCCUAAGUUUCAAAAUGAUUAACAAGUAAAACAAGAUAGCUAAAGUGAAUUUCGGUGAGCUAAACAAGGAAGCACAAGAAGAAAGAAAACAUAGAGUGGGGCUACCACAAACAUAAAAAGGAACUAAAGUGCGUACUAAGUGAAACCGGUAAGUGCACCAUUAGUGCUAAAAAAGGAAGCAAUUAUGAAGUGAUUCACUCUCAUGCAAGUUUGCGAUAAUGAUACAGUUCAUACAUAUAUAUAUAAAAUAUGGCUCAAUUUCAAUAUAUAUUCACCAACCGAGAUUACACGAUUAACCUUACAAAGAGAUUUUGACCACAAUUACAAAGAUAU